GAUGUACUCCCUCCGUCCGGAAUUACUCGUCACAUAAAUGAAGAAAAAUGGAUGUAUGUAGAACUAAAAUACGACUAGAUACAUCCAUUUUUUCGAAAAAUAUUUUCGGAUGGAGGGAGUAAUUG
rfam:Triticum aestivum genome assembly, contig: Triticum_aestivum_CS42_TGACv1_scaffold_320279_4BL